GGGGCAUCCAUGAUGAUUAAAUUUCUUGUUAUCCUUGCACAUUGACUGCUAGUGAUGAAAAUUAGUGGGGAAAUUUUUAUCAUAGUUGUCC
rfam:Beta vulgaris subsp. vulgaris Bvchr3.sca010.con0147.1, whole genome shotgun sequence.